rnacentral:tRNA from 1 species
GGCCAGGUAGCUCAGUUGGCAGAGCGUCGGUCUGAAAAACCGAAGGUCGGCAGUUCGAUUCUGCCCCUGGCCA